UUUAUACUGCUUAUGUACAAUCUGUUAUGUUCUGAGGUAACUUGUAGCUGUAUAUUUUAUACUGCUUGUGUACAAUCUGUUAUGUUCUGAAGUAACUUGUAGUAAUGUGCUUGACACUGCUUAUGAACAAACUGUUAUGUUCUGAAGUAACUUGUAGUAAUGUGCUUGACACUGCUUAUGAACAAACUGUUAUGUUCUGAAGUAACUUGUAGUAAUGUGCUUGACACUGCUUAUGAACAACUGUAUGUUCUAAGUAACUGUUAUGUUCUGAAGUAACUUGCAGUUGUGUUUUAUACUGCAGGUGUACAAUCUGUUAUAUUCUAAAGUAACUUGUAGUUGUGUGUUUUAUACUGCUGGUGUACAAUAUGUUAUGUUCUGAAGUUAUUUGUUGUUGUGUGCUUUAUAUGUCUUAUGUACAAUUUGUUCUGUUCUGAAGUAACUUGUAAUUGUGUGUUUAAUACUGCUGGUGUACAAUUUGUUAUGUUCUGAAAUAAUUUGUUGUUGUGUGUUUUAUACUGCUUGUGUACAAUUUGUUCUGUUCUGAAGUAACUUGUUGUUGUGUGUUUUAUACUGCUUGUGUACAAUCUGUAAUGUUCUGAAGUAACUUGAAGUUGUGUGUUUUAUACUGCUGGUGUACAAUCUGUUAUGUUCUGAAGUAACUUGUAGUCAUGUGUUUUAUACUGCUGGUGUACAAUCUGUUCUGUUCUGAAGUAAUUUGUAGUUGUGUGUUCUAUACUGCUGGUGAACAAUCUGUUCUGUUCUGAAGAAACUUGCAGUUGUAUAUUUUAUACCUUUACAUACGUUUUUCUCUCAUUUAAACUGUUAAAUUAAAAACAGAUUUUGAUUUAAUAUUGAAUUCAGUAUAAUGAUAUAAAUAUCAGUUUCCAUUAUUAUAUUAUGUUCAGAAGUAACUUGUAGUUAUGUGUAUUAUACUGAUAAUGUACAAUCUGUUAUGUUCUGAAGUAACUUGCAGUUGUAUAUUUUAUACUGCUUAUGUACAAUUUGUUAUGUUCUGAAGAAACUUGUAUUAGUAUGUUUAAUACUGCUGGUGUACAAUUUGUUCUGUUCUGAGGUAACUUGUAGUUGUGUGUUUUAUACUGCUUAUGUACAAUUUGUUCUGUUCUGAAAUAACUUGUAGUUGUGUGUUUUAUACUGUUGGUGUACAAUUUGUUCUGUUCUGAAGUAACUUGUAGUUGUGUGUUUUAUAUUUCUUAUGUACAUUUUGUUAUGUUCUGAAGUAACUUGUAGUUGUGUGUUUUAUAUUUCUUAUGUACAAUUUGUUAUGUUCUGAAGUAACUUGUAGCUGUGUGUUUUAUACUGCUGGUGUACAAUUUGUUCUGUUCUGAAGUAAUUUGUAGUUGUGUGUUUUAUAUUUCUUAUGUACAAUUUGUUAUGUUCUGAAGUUUUGUAGUUGUGUGUUUUAUAUUUCUGAUGUACAAUUUGUUCUGUUCUGAAGUAAUUUGUAGUUGUGUGUUUUAUACUGCUGGUGUACAAUUUGUUCUGUUCUGAAGUAAUUUGUAGAACUUUGUUUGUUUUAUACUGCUUAUGUACAAUCUGUUAUGUUCUGA
rnacentral:lncRNA from 1 species